GAAGGGUAAAUUGUUCUUUCUUUUGAUAUUAUCAUAUGCAACUACAGUAUUAAAACAAAAGCACAUAUUGCCUAUCUUUAUGAUUUAAUGUUGGCAGCAUGCUCCUGAUACAUAUAGCUGUUUAUUGAACGAAAAUUUAGUUCUAAUAAGAGAGAUUAACUUGAGAAAGUCAAGUCCCAGCUUUCUAAAUGGGCAAAUCCCAUUAAGAACAUGUACAGAUUUGAAGUGUAAAAGCUUGGAAUCAUUUUUGCUUUGACAGAUUCACUAGUAUUAUAGAAAAUUAGAAAUAUGAUUUGAGUUAUUAUUGAUGUAGUUAUCCACAAAUUUAUUAAUAUCUGCAGCUUUAAAUGAAGCUUCA
rnacentral:misc_RNA from 1 species